AACAUGUGGUUUAAUUCGAUGCAAAGCAAAGAACCUUACCAGAGCUUGACAUGCCGCGAAUCCUUUUAAACGAGAGGGGUGCCUUCAGGAAUGCGGACAUAGGUGGUGCAUGGCUGUCUCCAGCUCGAGCCGUAAGGUGUUGGGUUAAGUCACGCAGCGAGUACAACCCUCGUAUAUAGUUGCCACUGUUGAGUUUGAAACCCUGAAUAGACUAUCGGUGAUUAGCUAAAAAAAGGUGAGGAUGACGUCAAGUCAGCAUGCCCCUUAUGCCCUGGGUGGCACACAUGCU
rfam:Gossypium hirsutum cultivar TM-1 unplaced genomic scaffold scaffold1080.1, whole genome shotgun sequence